rnacentral:lncRNA from 1 species
ACCAGUGGAGCACACCUUGCUCAUCCAACUCGGCUUCUCCAGUCAGUUCAUGCUGCUUUCCCAAAUCUCGGCCUUCUCUUCUCUAUAGCAGCUGAGAGAUUCUAACUACAUCUAGCCCAGUCAAUGACAUACAUCAGACAUUUUUUUUAAAGGAAAAUAGAUACCCCAAAUCACAAAGAACAUUACCUAUGCCGCGGAUAGGGCAUUUGCAUGAGCCAGCGCUGCACGGGACUGCAACGACUGCACCUUCAUCCCGGCACCACUGCACCGGCGCCACGCCAUUCCGAAUCUGGUCAACUGGGAAUAUUUCUGCUAAACUUUAAACCCUUAGGUCAUCAGUCAGGCAAUGAGAAACUGAUAAUACAU